rnacentral:rRNA from 1 species
UGGGGAAUUUUGGACAAUGGGCGCAAGCCUGAUCCAGCCAUGCCGCGUGCGGGAAGAAGGCCUUCGGGUUGUAAACCGCUUUUGUCAGGGAAGAAAUCUUCUGAGUUAAUACCUCGGGAGGAUGACGGUACCUGAAGAAUAAGCACCGGCUAACUACGUGCCAGCAGCCGCGGUAAUACGUAGGGUGCAAGCGUUAAUCGGAAUUACUGGGCGUAAAGCGUGCGCAGGCGGUUUUGUAAGACAGAGGUGAAAUCCCCGGGCUCAACCUGGGAACUGCCUUUGUGACUGCAAGGCUUGAGUGCGGCAGAGGGGGAUGGAAUUCCGCGUGUAGCAGUGAAAUGCGUAGAUAUGCGGAGGAACACCGAUGGCGAAGGCGAUCCCCUGGGCCUGCACUGACGCUCAUGCACGAAAGCGUGGGGAGCAAACAGGAUUAGAUACCCUGGUAGUCCACGCCCUAAAACGAUGUCAACUGGUUGUUGGGAAGGUUCCUUCUCAGUAACGUAGCUAACGCGUGAAGUUGACCGCCGGGGGAGUACGGCCGCAAGGUUGGAACUUAAAGGAAAUUGACGGGGUCAUAGCUGUUUCCU